AGACAAACUCUUAAUGUAAAACCACCAUCAGAGCCACCCUGGAGUUAUGGCAAGGCCACCACAGUCUCCUCCAAAGGCCACUGAUAUGGAACUGGGAACCUCCCUCCAUAGAAUGCUAAAUGGCUGAUGUGAACUUGGUUAAGGAUCUAUAAUUCUUCUUACGAAGGUUAAAAUGGAGUUAAAAUUCACAGUGAACAGAUAAGAAGACCUCUUCACUGAUUUGUCAGAGUUACAACUCCCAAGCAGCUGGAGAGCACUAACGAUAAAAGGACCAACCCGCAACUCUGGCUUUCUGCCUACACAUCCCUGAAGAUCUGGCAGCUUCUGUUUGCAUCCUUGUCAUAAGACUUCCUCUUCCGUUCAGCAAACCUUCCUAAGAAGUUACAAUCUCAAAGAGGAAAGUUCUGGAAGACCAAAGAAAAUAUGUCAUGAAAUCAAGCCAUUAAGAAGUUGUGACUCCAAAAAAGUAAAAGCGUGAGCUACUGUACACA
ensembl:lncRNA novel transcript